CAGUCGCCGCGGUAAUACGAAGGGUGCAAGCGUUACUCGGAAUUACUGGGCGUAAAGCGUGCGUAGGUGGUUGUUUAAGUCUGCUGUGAAAGCCCUGGGCUCAACCUGGGAAUUGCAGUGGAUACUGGGCAACUAGAGUAAGGUAGAGGAUAGUGGAAUUUCCGGUGUAGCAGUGAAAUGCGUAGAGAUCGGAAGGAACAUCUGUGGCGAAGGCGACUAUCUGGGCCAUUACUGACACUGAGGCACGAAAGCGUGGGGAGCAAACAGGAUUAGAGACCCCGGUAGUCCCUGUCUCUUAUAC
rnacentral:rRNA from 1 species